rnacentral:lncRNA from 1 species
CAACAACAACAACAACAAAGCCUUUUCCCACUAAGUGGGGUCGGCUAUAUGAAUCCUAGAACGCCAUUGCGCUCGGUUUUGUGUCAUGUCCUCCGUUAAAUCCAAGUACUCUAAGUCUUUUCUUAGAGUCUCUUCCAAAGUUUUCCUAGGUCUUCUUCUACCCCUUCGGCCCUGAACCUCUGUCCCGUAGUCACAUCUUCGAACCGGAGCGUCAUUCGGCCUUCUUUGCACAUGUCCAAAUCACCGGAGCCGAUUUUCUCUCAUCUUUCCUACAAUUUCGGCUACUCCUACUUUACCUCGGAUAUCCUCAUUCCCAAUCUUAUCCUUUCUCGUGUGCCCACACAUCCCACGAAGCAUCCUCAUCUCCGCUACACCCAUUUUGUGUACGUGUUGAUGCUUCACCGCCCAACAUUCUGUGCCAUACAACAUCGUUGGCCUUAUUGCCGUCCUAUAAAAUUUUCCCUUGAGCUUCAGUGGCCUACGACGGUCACACAACACGCCGGAUGCAUUCUUACACUUCAUCCAUCCAGCUCGUAUUCUAUGGUUGAGAUCUCCAUCUAAUUCUCCGUUCUCUUGCAAGAUAGAUCCUAGGUAGCGAAAACGGUCGCUUUUUGUGAUUUUCGCUAGAUUGCUCCGGUCAUUAGUGUGGAUAAAUAUAUAAAUGGAUAGAGAUAGGAAAGCAAACACAAGAUGUGCGUGGUUCACCCAUAUUGGCUACGUCCACGGAAUAGAAGAGUUCUCAUUAAUUGUGAAGGGUUUACACAAGUACAUAGGUUCAAGCUCUCCUUUAGUGAGUACAAGUGAAUGAUUUAGUACAAAUGACAUUAGGAAAUAUUGUGGGAGAAUGAUCUCGUAAUCACGAAACUUCUAAGUAUCGGAGUGUGGAGUCGUCUUGACUUGCCUUAUCUGUCUCAUAGGUAGAUGUGGCAUCUUCUCUGGAAGUACUCUUCCUCCAUCCAGGGGUGGUAUCUUUAACUGGUGGAGAUGCACAAGGUAAUGUAUCAAUUUCACUUGAAGCUUACUUGUAGUUUCAGGCUUGGUCAAGCGCGAUACAAACCAUGUAGUAGGAGUCCCCCAAGUCGCCGAGCUAGGGGGUCUGCUGAAAGAGGUGACAGACAAGGUAAGCAAUCAGAGCUCCGACUGAUUGUUCACCUUCUCCCCAUCUUGCAGCAGCAUGAAGGAUAAAGAGAAGAAAAAUGAGAAGAGAUGAUAUGAGAUACUUUUGCUUUUGAAGAAGUAACUUUCCACAGGCUUAUUCUUGAACUGAGCUGGAGGGUUUUCUGGUUUCCUCCAGAGUAUAAGGCCGACUGAAGAAUUUGAGGGUCAAAACAAGUCCAUCAAAUCUAGAGUACGUUCCACCCUGCUGAUAUGGGAUACUUUUGCUUUUGACAGAGUAAUGGAUGUAUCGGCACGUGUGCUGUUACGCUUGUCUCCACAUGCUUCCUUGUAUCCUUCGCACUUGCCCUAUCUGUUCCUCAAGCAAAUGCGGAAUCUUCCCUGGAAACAUAAGAUGUUGAAGAUGAGUACUCGAGAGCAAUGCCAGGUAAGUAAUCAGGUAAGGGGUUCCAGGCAGUCAGAUCCUGGCUGGAAGCUUGAUUCCAAGUGCUGACUGAUUGCUCUCUUUUCUCCUUGUCUUGCAGGUAAAAACAAGGCCAAAGGAAAAGACAGGGAAAAAGCAUGAUAUGGGAUACUCUUGCUUUUAACCCUGAUGAUAUGAGAUAUUCUUGCUCUAGUAUAGCUUGUUUGCAGAGGUAUUAUCGGGGGGAAAGAAAGCUGAAUAUUUCGAAAGGCUUCGUUGGGAGUGCCCUCUCAGAUAUGAUGAAGGGUUGAGCAUUUUUGCAGGUCUGCCUGUCCGUUGGGGAUGGGGGUCGACAUAUAUAGGAGUCUCCCUAACAAGUAGUAAUGCUAUUCCUUUACCCUGCUUGGUCAUAGCACGGUAGUGGGAGCUGCCAGUUUCACAUGUUUUAACUCUGUCAGAGCACUUUGAAAAAGUGGUCUGUGGUAUCUAGCUCUCUAGAUUCGGAGAACGAUGCCACUUCGAUUUUUGAGAAAGCAAUCAUGCUGGGGGUCUGGCUCUCGAGAUUCGGAGAGCAGUGUCUCUUCGAUUUUUGAGGAAGUAAUCAUGUUGGGAGUCUGGCUCUCGAGAUUCGGAGGGCGGUGCCUCUUCGAUUUUGGAGCAAGCAAUCUUGUUGGGAGUGUUGUCUCGAAUGUGAGUAAAGGUUGGGCAUGUUUGCUAGUCUACCUUGCCACGAAGCACAAAGGUUGACACACAGGGACUUUCCAAUUAUCCAGCAGUGGUACUGUUCCUUUACCCUUGUGGGUAAUAAUAUGGUAGCUAGACCUUCAAAAUUUAUGGGUCUAAACUUUGUUAGUGUUGUUUCUUUGCUAUUCUUUUACCCUUCUUGGUCAGAGCGAUGUAGUGGGAGCUGCAAGCUUCACGUGCUCAACUUUGGCAGAGAACUUUGGCAAAGUUUUCUGUGGUACCCAUGAGCUAUUGUUGCGUGUGGGAAGUGGGUGAUUGAACAGUAAGAUUCAUGUGUUUUUCUACUUCCCCAGAAGUCUUCGACAGAAUGCCCAUAAUUUCCGCAAAGCUGAGUGUGCGUGUGACAGGUGCUGACAAGGCUGGAAAAGUAGGUGCUUCUUCGAUUUCUGAGAUCGGCCCUCGUGGUCUCUGGGGAGCCCAGCUUUUGAGAAAGCGAGCGCCUCUUCGAUUUCUGAGAUCAGCCUUCGUGGUCUUUGAGCAGCCCAACUUUUGAGAAAGCAAACGCCUCUUCGAUUUCUGAGAUCAACCCUCGUGAUCUCUAAGCAGCCCAGCUUUUUGAGAAAGCAAACGCCUCUUCGAUUUCUGAGCAGGCGCCUCUUCGAUUUCUGAAGCUCCGUCGAGUGCAGAUUUUUAUAAGGGCUGACAUUAAGUUCCAAAGCACACUUGAAUCUCCACCAGUAGAAGCUUCAUUCUUGCACUUCUAAGAUCUUGAUUUGUCCGACCUCUUCUCUCUUCAACACCUUUGAAAAUGUCUGGCCCCUCCGACCGUCGUUUUGACUUGAACCUUGUUGAAGAGGCAGCCCCGCCUUCUCCAGACAACAUAUGGCGCCCAUCCUUCGUCUCCCCUACUGGUCCUCUUACCGUUGGGGAUUCCGUGAUGAAGAAUGAUAGGACCGCUGCGGUGGUGGCCAGGAACCUUCUCACUCCCAAAGAUAACAGACUACUUUCCAAACGGUCUGAUGAGUUAGCUGUUAAGGAUUCGCUGGCUCUCAGUGUUCAGUGUGCAGGUUCUGUGUCUAAUAUGGCCCAACGCCUAUUUGCUCGAACCCGCCAAGUUGAAUCAUUGGCGGCUGAAGUGAUGAGUCUCAAACAGGAGAUUAGAGGGCUCAAGCAUGAGAAUAAACAGUUGCACCGGCUCGCACAUGACUAUGCUACAAACAUGAAAAGGAAGCUUGACCAGAUGAAGGAAACUGAUGGUCAGGUUUUACUUGAUCAUCAGAGAUUUGUGGGUUUGUUCCAAAGGCAUUUAUUGCCUUCGUCUUCUGGGGCUGUAUACCGCGUAAUGAAGCUCCAAAUGAUCAACCUCUGAUGCCUCCUCCUUCUAGGGUUCUGUCCAGUACUGAGGCUCCAAAUGAUCCCCCUCCGGUGCCUUCUCUUUCUGGGGCUCUACCGACUGUUGAGACUUCUCCUAAGCAACUUUUGUGAAGGCUCCCUCUUGUGUGUUUAUUUUGACUCAUGUAUAUGUACAUAUUUGUAGCUUAUCGGGGAUAUCAAUAAAUAAGCUUUCCUUCAUUUCAACGUAUUGUGUUAAAUACACCAAAGCCUUCUUCGCUAAGUUCUUUGAAUUUUCUUUUGUUGAAGCUUGUAUGUUGAAGCUUUCUGAGUGGAGCAUGUAGGUUGGGGUAGUGUUCCCUUAAUUUUCCGAGUGAGGAAAACUUCUCGAUUGGAGACUUGGAAAAUCCAAGUCACUGAGUGGGGAUCGGCUAUAUGAAUCUUAGAACGCCAUUGUGCUCGAUCCUGUGUCAUGUCCUUCGUUAGAUCCAAGUACUCUAAGUCUUUUCUUAGAGUCUCUUCCAAAGUUUUCCUAGGUCUUCCUCUACCCCUUCGGCCCUGAACCUCUGUUCCAUAGUCGCAUCUUCUAAUCGGAGCGUCAGUAGGCCUUCUUUGCACAUGUCCAAACCACCGUAACCGAUUUUCUCUCAUCUUUCCUUCAAUUUCGGCUACUCCUACUUUACCCCGGAUAUCCUCAUUCCUAAUCUUAUCCUUUCUCGUGUGCCCACACAUCCAACGAAGCAUCCUCAUCUCCGCUACACCCAUUUUGUGUACGUGUUGAUGUUU